rfam:Trichobilharzia regenti genome assembly, scaffold: TRE_scaffold0067524
AUCCAACUGAUGAGUCUUAAAUAGGACGAAAUGCGCAUCCUGACUGGAU